GAUGAACGCUGGCGGCGUGCCUAAUACAUGCAAGUCGAGCGAAGCGGGGACGGGUGAGUAACGCGUGGAUAACCUCCUAUAAGACUGGGAUAACUUCGGAAAACCUGAGCUAAACCGGAUACUUAUAGAUGGAUCCUCGCUGCAUUAGCUAGUUGGUACGGUAACGGCUUACAAAGGCAACGAUGCAUAGCCGACCUGAGAGGGUGACCGGCCACACUGGAACUGAGACACGGUCCAGACUCCUACGGGAGGCAGCAGUGGGGAAGAUUGCACAAUGGGCGCAAGCCUGAUGCAGCCAUGCCGCGUGUGUGAAGAAGGCCUUCGGGUUGUAAAGCACUUUCAGCGAGGAGGCGUUACCCGCAGAAGAAGCACCGGCUAACUCCGUGCCAGCAGCCGCGGUAAUUC
rnacentral:rRNA from 1 species